CUACGGGAGGCACCAGUGGGGAAUAUUGCACAAUGGGCGCAAGCCUGAUGCAGCCAUGCCGCGUGUAUGAAGAAGGCCUUCGGGUUGUAAAGUACUUUCAGCGGGGAGGAAGGGAGUAAAGUUAAUACCUUUGCUCAUUGACGUUACCCGCAGAAGAAGCACCGGCAUAACUCCGUGCCAGCAGCCGCGGUAAUACGGAGGGUGCAAGCGUUAAUCGGAAUUACUGGGCGUAAAGCGCACGCAGGCGGUUUGUUAAGUCAGAUGUGAAAUCCCCGGGCUCAACCUGGGAACUGCAUCUGAUACUGGCAAGCUUGAGUCUCGUAGAGGGGGGUAGAAUUCCAGGUGUAGCGGCGAAAUGCGUAGAGAUCUGGAGGAAUACCGGUGGCGAAGGCGGCCCCCUGGACGAAGACUGACGCUCAGGUGCGAAAGCGUGGGGAGCAAACAGGAUUAGAUACCCGUGUAGUC
rnacentral:rRNA from 1 species